rnacentral:misc_RNA from 1 species
AUGUAGGUUAUCAGUGCAAUCAACAUGAAUGACGCCGUCCCAGUCUUCCUUUUACUCAUAUCUCUGUCGCGAGGUGGCGCUCCAGAGUCGAACUGGGCCAACGAGUUUGACGGACAUUUCCAAUUUGUGUGCCCCGUCGGCAGUUACCUGACCAACGUAGAGAGUUUCUUCAACAGCUAUUACAACGACCGGAAGUUCAGUUUCCAGUGUAACGCCCGCCUCGAUUCCCCAGUGGAAGUAUCUUCCUGUUUCUGGACCGAUUAUGUCAAUGCGAUGGACAGUCCCAUAGUGUUUCAGUGUGGCUCUGGUGUCAUCCAUGGAAUAGAAAGCUACCACCAGGACACAUACGAAGACAGGAGGUUUAAAUUCAAGUGUUGCAAUCUUCCACUUACAUGUGAAACCAAUUGCCACUUCACCGGCUGGGUUAAUGACCUUCAAGGCCCGUUCACUUACAUUGCCCCAGACAACUAUUUCAUUAGAGGAGUUGUUAGUUUUCAUGACAACAAGGCGGAGUAAGCUUCUAUUUAGCUUUGGUCAAAGUAUUUUAGAACUGUCCGGAUAUAAUUUCAAAAGAUUUCAAAUGAUUUUUUCGCGGUAUUAAAAAAAAACCCAAACUUUUUUUCGUUGUUUCUUUGGGCAUUAACCUAGAGACCGGAAGUUCGACUUUGAGGUAUGUGCAUUACCCACUGCCUGUGAUUACCAUCAGCACCACUCACACAAUCCGACCAAACCUAUUUCUACCCAAUCCACAUCUAUUACCAACGGGACUACUGCAUGGGCGGUUCUUGGAUAGUCGUCCUUUAAUUAUCAUCUGUCUACAUGUGAUUCGUUCGUACGAUGAGCAUUAAACCAUAAAAACAG